rnacentral:rRNA from 1 species
AUUGAACGCUGGCGGCAGGCCUAACACAUGCAAGUCGAGCGGAUGAAGGGAGCUUGCUCCUGGAUUCAGCGGCGGACGGGUGAGUAAUGCCUAGGAAUCUGCCUGGUCGUGGGGGAUAACGUCCGGAAACGGGCGCUAAUACCGCAUCCGUCCUGAGGUAGAACGUGGGGGAUCUUCGGACCUCACGCUUUCAGAUGAGCCUAGGUCGGAUUAGCUAGUUGGUGGGGUAAAGGCCUACCAAGGCGACGAUCCGUAACUGGUCUGAGAGGAUGAUCAGUCACACUGGAACUGAGACACGGUCCAGACUCCUACGGGAGGCAGCAGUAGGGAAUAUUGGACAAUGGGCGAAAGCCUGAUCCAGCAAUGCCGCGUGUGUGAAGAAGGUCUUCGGAUUGUAAAGCACUUUAAGUUGGGAGGAAGGGAAGUAAGUUAAUACCUGGCUAUUUUGACGGUACCAACAGAAUAAGCACCGGCUAACUUCGUG